CGGCGGGGGGAUGGGGGGAGUCCCGGCCGGGGACCCACCGGCGCUGUUAUACUGGUGAUGCUCAGCGGGUCUGGGUUCUCCUCAGGCAGCCGUCAUUUUCCCAGAUGCCUUGAUUUGGAUGUGCCGUGGUUAAUUCUUUUUUUUUUUUUUUUUUUUUCCCUUCUGUCUCUUCUAGUAGGUUUCCCAAGUGCAGCUGAGCAGUACUUUCUUCGUUCUAGCGCUUACGGCUCAGGAGAGGAAGCCGACCAGCUGGUUAUUUAUUUAGGUGUAAAUGCCAUAUUGAGUGUGACUUUUAGUCAGGGUAAAGAUAGGCAAGGAGAGCUCUGGGACUAGUACGGUGCUGCUGUUGGGAAGAGUGCAGAAAUCAAGCCAAUCUCGUAAACAGACAGCCAGCCAGCACUCCUCUUCGGAGAGGAAAUGUGUAUUUCGAAGGUUCAGAAAAGCAGGCUUCAGAGAAAUGUUCUGGUUUUGUAUUCACCUUGUACACUGUGAAACUGCAGCACACUUUCUCGUGAUAAGCAGCAUUCUUAAUAAUGAGGGGUUUUUAAACUGAGACCUGUGUGCUGACAUAAAAUGCAGGUAAUACACAUGCUGCAUGAAACCUAAAACACCAGUAAGCUGCCAGAGUGCUCUGUGAAAUAAUACUGAACCCUGAUCUAAACAUUGACUUUCUCCCUUUUGUGUAUCAAACUUCAGUUGAAUGUUAGGCUCUCCAGAUACCAUCAGUGGUUCACACUGUCAACCUUUGGAGGCCUCUUAUUGUGAGGAAGCUAAAACUUAAUGUUCUAGGACAUCAGUCUGCUUUUUGAUAACUGGUAGCAGCUGGUUUUCCUUAAAAGCAGUGCUUCUAGCUUUUCAUCAAGAGGGACAAAGGCUUUUUUUAUUUUUUUGUCCCUGUAGUGAAAGGUUGCCUUUUUCUAACAGGAGUGACAUCGUUUUCGUGUCAGAUCUGUAACUCGGGAUGUUGCAUGUAAAGCUCAAGCAGUGCAUCAUCAGCUGUGUGUUCUCUGCCAAACAUGAUGAUUUCUGAAUUGUGCUGAUGUGGUUUCCCUCUUUGGAUACAUAUCAGGGAAUUUUUUCUUGCAACUGUUUUUUGGCUGAAAAGAAGAACACUAGUAGAUAGUUUGCAGGCCUUAAAAACCUGAGAAGAAUUCAAGUGGAAAAGUCUCCUACAGCUGGUUGAGAUCCUUUCAGAAAGGCUUCAGCCAGAGUAUCCAGAUGUCCACAGCAGUUCUCAUGGAAAUUUUAUGUCUCAUAGCUGGAGUGUGGCAGGGGAAGUGCAAAGCAUACCAGCAAAGCAUGGCCAGAUUUAACAGAACGAAGAGCUGAGGACUUUGGCUCUGCUGAUGUUUCAGGCUCUGACUGUGAGCCUUUAGUAGAUUGCUGAGGUACUGAUGUGAAGAGAGAGUGCUUCAGCUUUGAGGGCAGUGGAAAGCAGUGGCUGAGGGCUCAUUUCAGUCUUCAGCAAGUCUGCAGGCCUGGGUUAAUGCUGAAUAACGUGGCUGCCUCAGGUGGCUUCUCAUGUCUUCAUUGAAAGGUCUGGUUUUCCUUCUUCGGUGUAGUUUGGAUGCCAAGGUGUUCCUUUUUUUUCUACCUAUAGCAGAAAGUUUAAAAUGCACAAAAUUGUCAUCUAGUCCAGAUUUUUGUCCAACAAUUGAGAUUCCAUUAAAGCUUCUACCAAACUUCUGAUUUUAUUCAGAGUUCUCCUGUUUUUGAGUUUCCAUCCAGUGAAUCCUCUUAUACUUUGGUCCAUUUCAUUGAAGAGCCCUUUACAUACAUACUGUAAAGGUAUUUUUAAAUAAUAAUAGAGUGUUGAAGCCCUCCCUUCAAACAGCCAUGACUGAAAACUUCAUUUUCUUGAACAUUUAAUCCAAAUGUUUCCCAGUUUGGUUUUUUUUUUUUGUUUUGCUUUUUUCUUUAAGCCUUCUGCAGUUUAUUUCACUGGUAUCCUGUUAUUCUCUGGUAUCUCUUAAUGUAUUUUAGCUAAGAGUAAAGAAAGGCUGCACUGCACAUAUAACAGUCUGUGCCUCCAAAAACCACUUUGCUCACAUUGGACUCUGAAUUUCAAACUUUACUUGCCAAGUUCUUUUCCAAAAUGCUGACCUGUCCUGCAAAUACAUCAUUUGUUUCAAGACUUCACUUAGGUGUAUUAAAUUCCACCUCUGCUUGUGUCCAGAUGCAUAAGUGACCUAGAAUGCUUUGACUGAUUAUUAAAUCUGGUUUAUAAUCUCUUUAUCAUCCACAAACUCCAAAAGAGAUAAAGUAAACAAUUAGUGGUACACUGAUAAAAAUAUCACAUAAGCAGAAUGUUAGAGAACCUCUGUUGGGAUGAUUUCCCAUCUGUAAUCACAUCUCAUGACUUAGGGUCUAGUCAUUAAUACCUUCUGUGUGUGCUGUGUUGGUUUUAUAUCUUACAAUGAGAGACAGUUUUUUACUUUUCAUUUAUUGUAAUAUUUAACUUUGUUUGUUUGUUUGCAUCAAGGUUUCUGGUUGUGUAUUUGUCAGUAGAAGAGCAUUGUAAGAGUUAGUGUACUUUAUGUAAGCAAAUCUUAAUAUUUAGCAGUUAAAUUUGCAUGCUGAAGUAUUGCCAUAAACAGGUUUUGCUUAGCUUAGUAAGUACUUUGUGUACUUAUGAAAAAUACACAUCUUUGAGCAUGACAAAGCAAGAUUAUGUACAACCCUGAGUAUGCAACUGUUCACGUCACUUCUAUUUCUUAAUGUUUCAUGAUCUUAAAAAAAUCAAUUUCCUGACUUUCCUUCACUGCAGUAUGUUGUCACUGUCAACUCAUCUCUCAUCCCACUUGUCUUUCACCAUGUCAUGAAGAUCUCUUAUUUUCCAAGAAGAAUAGAUUAGAUAGUAGUAGUUCCUUCCACAUAAAAUAUUCCAUCAUAGUUCAUUUUCCAUGAAGGGAAAACUGCCUUUAUUUCAUUGUAAUAAACAGCCAUCAUUUUUUCUGAUAAUUUGUAUAAAAAUAAUCUGAUGCUGUUAGACUUUCUUUGGAAUUCAGUGCCAUAAAUUUCCCUGUGUCUCUGUUGACCACAUGGCAAUGGUGCUUUUCCAUACAUCCUUUCCAAGGGUAUGGUUAGAGUGAAAUGUUGCAGGAGGGACUCUACAUAUGUUGUAUUUGGAGAAUACUGUUAAGGGUGGCCUUAUCUUAAGAACACAACAGGCUGAGGGGUUACAGAUAAGUACAGAGGAUAAGGCUGGGGGAAAGAAGUGUUUUCUGUAAAGUGUGAAAGGUCUUCUCAGUGGUUCUGAUGUUUGUCACCUCUUUGGCUGUCUAUGUAGUGGAAGUGUCUCUUGCCCUGGGAUUCAGCUUUUCAGACAAAUAGCUUUUCUGGACAGAAAAGGGGAGUUCCAGCCAGAAGCAGUAAAACUAAAAGGUGUAUGCGCACAUAUUGGUGAGAGAUUGUUUCCAUACUUUUGGUUAAAGGGAGUAGUGCCUUUGCUACCAGGGUAGAGGUUGUUCUGAGCCUCCAGGCCAUGCUCAUGGAGAGCAGUAAAGUGGUUUUGUGCAGAAAGAUCAGCACUCUGUCUCCUCCUCUGCUUCUGCUCUGUGUGUCUGUCAGGUCUCACUUUCUUGUUUUUUAAAUUUCUUUUUACCUUUUUCACAGCCUCAGUAUAUCCCUUAAAACUUGAACAACUGUGUGUUUCAUAAGAGGUCUGUACAAAUUCCUAGUUCCUAUUUAAACCAAUCAUGUUCCAGUCACAGAAUUGAUUAGGCUGGGAAAGACCUCUGAGAUCACUGAGUCACCUGACAUUUGAGGGGUCUGAUCAAGCAGGUGUGCUCAAAGCAAGAUAAUAUGGAAUGUGAUAGUGACAUCACAUGAAUUGUUAGUUAGUUAAUAUGAAUUGUUACAUGUAGAUGUUAAGUCCAGUACACAGCAGCAUUGCUGUCAUUGAGUGAAAACACCUGGCCAGCUUUGCUUGUCUUAUUAGGAAAUAAACUGGUGGUCAGAGCAUUUCUCACUAAACCAAGAUGUGGAAUCUAGGUGCUUCUCAAGAGCUCCUGACUGCUGGCCUGUGGGCUCUCUUACCCAAUGCUUGUUGUCUGCCCCUUUAGUAGAAAUUGGGUCAUUGAUUCUUGCACUUUUUUUUUUUUUUUUUUUUUUUCCACAGAGUUAUACAGCAGGUAAGCAAAAGAGAGAGUGAGACUCUCUGGCCUUGUGCCUUAGGAGUCAGGUUUAGACCCCUGUUUCUGGGCAGUUCCAUCUUAGCAUGUAGACUUCACAUCUGUAGAGUUCCCAUUUAGCAUGUGGAUUGGUCUCCUAAGGACACAUACUUUCCAUGCAAGUUGUAACUCAAAAUUGACCCACAUCUUCCUUUUCAUGUAAAUCUGGAGCAGUAAAGUUAAAAUUAUGUCACCUUGAAUUCCCAGUGAUUAUUAGAAACCUUCUGCUUUCAAGCUACAUCUCAAAUGGCUUAGUCUAACUUUCAGAUUUUCAUUCUCUCAUGAAAGAUACAACACUGAGCAAACACAUGUUAGGAUUCAGAUACAAAAUUUGAAACAGCCAGUCAAUGUUUCACUUCAGUUUGGAGUGGAAAAAGUAAGCAAAGUGAUAGAAUAAUGUUAAUAAUUGUUAAUAAUUUUGUAGCCUGUCUCCCUUUAUCCUAACUCACAUUAAAGGGGACAUUAGUCCUGAUUCUUGUCUGAAGAUUAACAAUUGUUGUCCCUGAGUAUCUAAACUUCAGACAAAACUGAGGUUUGUUUCCAGUAGCUGUAUGUAGCCCACAGAUGCACAUUUGGUGAUUGCUUUGAAGUGCUUUUUGACUAGUUGAAGAAACCAAAGCUGCUGGUUUAAAACUGAACUUUGUUGUUAACCUGUGAGAUUGGUCUUUAGAGAGAUCACAUGGACCUUGUGAAAAGGAACACAAUUCUUAGCUCACCUCUCACUUCAUUAGCUAUAAAGUCCACAUGUGGCUAUCUGUGAUGUAUUCUGUGUGCUGCCCCUUGGAGCCAUCCAAAGUUCAGUGUACAACGUUACUGCUGUUGGAGCAAAAGUCUGGGAUGUUCCACAAAGCUGCUACCAAACUGAAAUGCUCAGGGAGCCUUUUGGCAGCCAGUAAUAUACCCUGAGGUUGGAUCCAGCAUAGGUUUUGCUGGGGGAACUAUUGGCCAAACUGGCUGAAAAUUGAAAUAGGUGCUGUUCCAAGAUCCAGUUUACCCUGUUCUGGAGGAAGUGACUAGAAGCAGUACUUCCAAAUAACAACUUUGUGGUUAAAAAUUUUUAAUAUGUUGCUUUAGGUUGAAUAGAUUUUUUUCCUUGUCUGCAAAGUGAAAUUAAAUCUUUGUUAGAGAAUCAAACCAGUGCUAGGAGAUGGAGAAAUCUUGAAUGUAUUUUUAUGGUCUGAAGAGACUUUGACUUUAGCAGUUCUCAAAGUUUAUUGUGAAUAAGGACAAAUAUCAGGCUGAACAGGAUGUCAAAUUCAUCAAGGCUGCUAAAUUCUUAACUGGAUUCUGAAAGGAAGUGAAGCUCUGCAGGUGGUGGGUAGCAAUGUUUUGCUUGUGUUGUAGCUUAGAGAAGGGUGUGCUUUAUACAAGGUGGAGUUGUAAGGUAGAUGAGGACUUUAUACAGGGGAAAUGCAGAGUAUGAACGUGGAGGUAUAGAUGUGGAGAUAGGCAGGCAAAUGUGUGGGCUUAAUAACUGGUCUCAGGACUAAAAUAAGCAAAGGCUCUGGAGCAGAGGUCUUUAAAUGUGAAAGCAAUGGUGGGAAUAAAAGCAUUCUUCAAGGAGCAGCUUUCCCUUAUGGAAGACUUGUACCUCCAUAUACCCAAGUAACAUGUAGCAGAUGUGUUCUAAUUGGUUUUAACACUUCCCUGACUCUUGCUGUUUUACUGUCCCAAAUGGGAGUGGGAGGAGAAUUUUUUAAAGACAUAUUUGACUGUGAAGUGGCUAAUUUGGGGGUACAGAAAAAAAAAAAAGCCCACUGAAAUGUUGUGAUAUGGUCUCAGAAGCUUGCUUUGGUUUACAUACCUGUGCUCCAAGCCACUGUUCCUGCCCUCUCUUCAGCAUGUCUGUCAUGUCAUGCUGCAAUCAAUUAUUUACAGCAGGAGCCAGGCUAAAUAGGUGGGCAGACAAAAGGAAAGGAAAGAAGGACUGUGGGUAGGGCCUGCAGAGUAAAUUGCAUCAGGCCAUGAAAGAACUCUGUGGGAGUGUGUCUAGGAUUGCACUGAUGUCUCCACCUCAAUCAUGUUCCUGAAAGAUAUUUUCUCCCUAGGAUUUUAUGUGCUGGCACCUUCCUGGACACUUCCCCAAGUGCAGUGAAAUCUGAUAUGCAAAAUAGCUUUUUCAGACCAGUUUUUUAUAUAAAAGUGAGUAAUAGGCUAGAGCUUCGAGCAGAACCCCAGAGCUGUAUGUUUUGUAUUAAUAUAAAAUACUGUAGUUAAACUCUGUGCAGAAGCACCUAAAUGGAAGCUUUAAAUCUUGAAGCAGAUCUUGCUCAUACUGAGAUCGCUGAACUUCUGCUUUAGGAACUAAGGUGAAGCCAAGCUUGCACCAUUUACUAAUAAUCACAAUUCAAUAUUUACCUUUUAGUGUAGGAUUAAAGAAUAGAACAUAUUUCUAAGUUACAUUUGCCGAGCUGGAAUUUAAAAUGCUGUCUGCCGAGUCCAAAGGUUGGUUUUUUACAAGUUAGCAUUCCACUGAGUGCUUGGACGUGGCUUGAUGAGUCCUCUGUGACUUCUGAAUACUUCUGUAAAAAACAUUCUGGAAUCUUAAAGUUCAAAUUCAGUUUUAGGAAAGAAAAAAGGUAUUGGUGUAAAAGCACCUGAGAUUACAAGAUAUUAUAGAGAUUUUGCAUACAUUAAUCUUAAAGCAAGCUGAUACAUUCUAAAAGUUUUCAUGCUUUCAGUUAAGUGUGUUAUUGAGAUUUAAGAAUAUUCAGUGCUUGAUACAGAUAAAUAUAAUAUCAUUCUCUUUUUAAUAUAAAUAAUUGGAAUCAAGCUGGUGGACCAAGAGGUGGCAUCUCAGCUGGUGCUGUGGAACUCCAUAAACCACUAAAUGCAGGGUAGAAUGGAAGGGCAGCAGGGUGCUACUCUCUGAUUAGCCAGAGUUUGGAAAACACCUUGUGCAAAUAGUAGGAUUUAUGGACAUAUUUGCUUGAAAACACUUCAGAGAAA